rnacentral:antisense_RNA from 1 species
CUUCACCGACCCGAGCCACAGUGGCCGCUCGGCGGUUCGGUCCCUGCCGUACGUGGCCAGCAGCGCCUGCGCCUC